rnacentral:lncRNA from 1 species
UUUCUUUCAUAUGAAAAUAGACUCACUCAGAUUUAAUUUCAUAUAUUAUUCAACCUCCAAUUCAUUUUCCACCAUUUAUGGUGAUUUUUCAAAGUUACCCAACUGCUGUUGUUCGAAACAGGUUUGUAUUUAAAUUGUUUCUUUUGUACUUUUGAUAUUUCCUCCCAUCUUAUACAUGGGUUGAUUAAGUAUCAAACCCAAUAUUCCUCCCAUAACCUUGUCCACCAUAUGUAUAAAUAUUCACCUUCCCAAUUUACUCGUUGAACACUCGGAAUGAUAACCGUUAUCGGUGGAUUCAGCACUUAGCAACCACCAGUGAUUCGGGGAAUCAGCACUUAGCAACCCCUUUUUACAUUCAAGGAUAUGGUGGAAUCAACACUUAGCAACCACCAGUGAUUCGGGGAAUCAGCACUUAGCAACCCCUUUCACAUUCAAGGAUAUGGUGGAAUCAACACUUAACAACCACCAAAGAGUCGGGGAAUCAACACUUAGCUACCCCUUGAGGGAAUCAGCACUUAGCAACCCUUUUCACAUUCAAGGAUAUGGUGGAAUCAGCACUUAGCAACCACCAAAGAGUCGGGGAAUCAGCACUUAGCAACCCCUUGUUAUUCAAUAUAAUCCGGCUUAUUCCGAGUGUUCAACCAGAAACCGUAUUUUUCAACACUUUACCACUUUUCCCAAUUUAAUCACAUUUUUAGGAUCUUUGCCAAAUAUUUAUUCUAUGUUCAAAUAAAUCUCAACACAUAUCAAAUAAUAUCAAAAUAAUACAUUAUUUCACAUGUUUACUUACCUCGGUGCAAAAUAUCGUGAUUUUGCAAUUUACUCCACUACUUUCUCUUUUCCCCGUUUGAGGUAUUCUUCUCGUCUUUCUUGAUCUAUAAUAACAAAUUUAACUCAUUUAAUGUUCACAUUUAUUAAAAUAAUCCUCCACCCAACUUUUUGAAAAAUUACAAUUUUGCCCCCAAACUUUUGCAUAUUUACAUUUU